rnacentral:rRNA from 1 species
GUGAGGAAUAUUGCGCAAUGGAGGCAACUCUGACGCAGCCAUGCCGCGUGCAGGAAGAAGGCGCUACGCGUUGUAAACUGCUUUUAACCGGGAAGAAACCCCAGGACGUGUCCUGGGUUGACGGUACCGGAGGAAUAAGCACCGGCUAACUUCGUGCCAGUAGCCGCGGUAAUACGAAGGGUGCAAGCGUUAUCCGGAUUCAUUGGGUUUAAAGGGUGCGUAGGCGGAGCGUUAAGUCAGUGGUGAAAUCCUGCAGCUUAACUGUAGACUUGCCAUUGAUACUGGCGCUCUUGAGUGCGCUUGAAGUGGGCGGAAUGUGCCGUGUAGCGGUGAAAUGCUUAGAUAUGGCACAGAACACCAAUUGCGAAGGCAGCUCACUAAGGCGAUACUGACGCUGAGGCACGAAAGCGUGGGGAUCGAACAGGAUUAGAAACCCGGGUAGUCC